UACGAAGGGGGCUAGCGUUGUUCGGAUUUACUGGGCGUAAAGCGCACGUAGGCGGCUUUUUAAGUCAGGGGUGAAAUCCCGGAGCUCAACUCCGGAACUGCCUUUGAUACUGGCAAUCUUGAGGCUGGAAGAGGUUAGUGGAAUUCCCAGUGUAGAGGUGAAAUGCGUAGAGAUUAGGAAGAACACCAGUGGCGAAGGCGACUUACUGGACUGUAACUGACGCUGAGGCAUGAAAGCGUGGGGAGCAAACAGG
rnacentral:rRNA from 1 species